rnacentral:rRNA from 1 species
AUUGAACGCUGGCGGCAGGCCUAACACAUGCAAGUCGAGCGGGGUUUUCGGACCUAGCGGCGGACGGGUGAGUAAUGCGUAGGAAGCUACCCGAUAGAGGGGGAUACCAGUUGGAAACGACUGUUAAUACCGCAUAAUGUCUACGGACCAAAGUGUGGGACCUUCGGGCCACAUGCUAUCGGAUGCGCCUACGUGGGAUUAGCUAGUUGGUGAGGUAAUGGCUCACCAAGGCAACGAUCUCUAGCUGGUUUGAGAGGAUGAUCAGCCACACUGGAACUGAGACACGGUCCAGACUCCUACGGGAGGCAGCAGUGGGGAAUAUUGGACAAUGGGCGAAAGCCUGAUCCAGCCAUGCCGCGUGUGUGAAGAAGGCCUUCGGGUUGUAAAGCACUUUCAGUAGGGAGGAAGCGUUGUGUGUUAAUAGUACACAGCGUUGACGUUACCUACAGAAGAAGCACCGGCUAACUCUGUGCCAGCCGCCGCUGUAACAC